AUUGAACGCUGGCGGCAGGCCUAACACAUGCAAGUCGAACGAGUGGCGGACGGGAGAGCAAUGUCUGGGAAACUGCAUGAUGGAGGGGGAUAACUACUGGAAACGGUUGCUAAUAACGCAUACCAUCGGCUGGGCCCAGAUGGGAUUAGCUAGUAGGUGGGGUAAAGGCUCACCAAGGUGACGAUCCAUAGCUGGUCUGAGCGGAUGACCAGCCACACUGGAACUGAGACACGGUCCAGACUCCUACGGGAGGCAGCAGUGGGGAAUAGUGGACAAUGGGCGAAAGCCUGAUGCAGCCAUGCCGCGUGUGUGAAGAAGGCCUUCGGGUUGUAAAGUACUUUCAGCUGGGAGGCGUUACCCGCAGAAGAAGCACCGGCUAACUCCGUGCCAGCAGCCGCGGUAAUAC
rnacentral:rRNA from 1 species